GCCAUGGAGCCCAGAGGUGGCAGGCCCAGCCCGGCCGUGGAGGCAAGGCCCAGGAGGGAGGAAAGAAAGGGGGGGCAGAAGUGGCAGUGGGGAGGAGAGAUGGCUGGGCCCGGAAGCAGAGACUGGGGCAGAAGGUGGGGAGAGGUAACCGCCGGCCCCAAAGAGCGUAUAGAUGCUCUGUGUGGGGUCGGCUAGUAUAUAAUAAAAUGCUUCGCUAGUGGACAGUGAAGAUUCUAGUCUGGUCUGAACAAUGAGUUUUAAAGAUCUGUGAUGCUAGAUCUGCAGGCAUAGUAACAAGACAAUGGAAUUGUUAUGAUUUUGACACUUUGAGUUUAGGAAGAUAAAUUUUGUGUUAAAAUAAGCUGAUGCUUUAUUAUAAGCAAUAUCAUUUGCUUUAGAAUGGAAAAUCCCCAACCCACCCGCCAGUUGGUGGCACACAACUGACAGCAUGAUAACAAUCUGGGACACUGAAAUUCUAGGGAACUGGAAACCAGUGCUGCUGAUAGGAAUUACAGGCCUCAGAAUAUAUGAAGGAAGGGAAUCUAAAGGAAGCAGUAGCAAUGGUUGCCAGGCUGCUUUCAGACAUCCCAACCAGCUGGGUGUCUGCCUCCUCUUGGCACUAAGAGAUGCACAGCCCUUGGGCAGCAGCCCUCCCCCCACCUUUCCAGAGCCUGUUCUCUGCCUGUAGUGGAGUAAGGAUGUGUGAGCUGCUUUGCUUCAAGCCGGGCUUGAUGUCAAGCCAGCCCGUUUUGAGAGGUCUGACUUCGAACCAGACCAGGGAGGAAGUACUCCUGCCCACCACUCCAUUCCAACAUGUACUCCUCACUUGUUUGGGACUCUACACAUGCACAGGGGCCAUCUGAGCCAUCUGGCCAUCUGAGCCCCAGGGGCCAUCUGAGCCCUGGGGCAGCUGGUAGGGAAUGCCGGCUUGCCCAGGGCCAGGAUGAGGAGUGCGCUGAAACAAGUGAGGGGUGCCUGUGUGUGUGUGUGUGCCUGUGUCUCUGUGUGUGGAUGGCUAUGUCACUUGUGCACAACCUUUACACUAUUUUGCUGAUAAUACUGUCCUGAAGGAAAUUAAAUCAAGCAGGAGAACUCAGGUUUAUGGGAAAUUUCUGGGAAGAGAAUCUUUAGUUUUGGACACGGUUGUUAGAACAUUAGUUAUUUUUAUUUAUCAUUGUGUGUGUGUGUGUUUUAAGAAAAAGCAAAAAAUAAAGAACAGAUUUAAAUUGA